AAUGCAGUUCACGCCAAAGUUCCCUUGAGCAAAGCUUUCCCGCUGCCGGUUCCUCAGGUGAAAUGUAGAGAAACGUGUCAGAAACAGUGAUAAACCAGGCACGGAUGUGAAGGCUCUGGGUUUGGGACGGUCUGGCGUCCUUAACGUCUCGUUGACACGUGUCGAUGGCGCCUGGGCCUUCGCUCUGACCUCAGAUUAAACGGCCGUCGAGGCGGAGACGGAGGGAAGCGACGGCGGCCGCUGACAGACUCAUUAAUCAGACGCCAGACGAGCGCAGGCCUUGAAUCAGACAUGAAACACCACGACUCCGACUCCGGCUCGUCCACAGUCCAACCCUGAACCCUCAGACCCCCCAGAGGUCACAAACCCCCACCUGUGACUCCACACACGGCGUUCAUCCACUCACUGAUCCCACAUCCGCCUUUAUGAGCUGCACCAAAUCCGUUUCCUCCCAUUUUCCGUCACUCAGUCCUUCCGGAUGCCUGCUGCUUUAACCAGGAGUGUUGUACAAUAACAUGCUAUUUAUACAGAAAGUGUGUUUAAUUUUUCAAUAAAGAUGACCGCACAAAAACUA